CGGACUCGGGCACGGAUUAAGGGAGAUGAGCUUUGUCUCCAUCAUAACGGCAAUGUCUGACAGCCUUUCCACCAUGUAUCUUGUGUAUUUCCACAGGGAAAGCACAAGGUGUGUUAAUCCCACUUUCAGGGCCAAAGCACUUUGCCACUGAGAGGUGAAGCAGGAGGUGUGACUGUUCCUACCCAAAGCCAGUCCAACCCUUUCUAAAACCUACAAUCAAGUGGAUUCUGCAAUCUUCCUAGGCAGCCUAUUCCAGCACCCAACUGCCCUUAAAAACCCCAGAGUUUUCCCCAGCAUCUAAACUGUGCUUUGGCUGUGAACUUCCGUUUCUUUGUGCAGUGCCCAGCAGAUACAAAGAAUGAUUAACAAGCAUCAAGUUCCACUAACAUUUUAGAUACUGUGUCAUUUCACAUAAUAUUAUCAUUUUCUCCCUAAAACUUUAUUUUUCUAGACUAAACAAAUUCUCAGAGGCCUCAUGAUCUCAUAGGCCGUAUUUUGUAAACCUUUUGCCAUUGCUGGGCUGCUGUAGACUCCUUUCAACUUUGCAUUCUUGCUCAGGUCUGUGUCCAAUAAUCAGGUUAAUUAGGUAACGGCUCUCAGCGUGGUAUUUGCAGACUCAGCAACAGCAUCACCACGUUAGUUCAGACUCUUCCUGAUCCCCUGUAAUCCCUGGAUCCCUUUCAGUGCUGCUCCCUGAACAGCUGUUCCCCCGUUCUUGACAAAUUCAUGGUGACUUUUUGAUUUGUCACUCCUUACGUCACCCCCCUCUCCAAGGGCCGGGAUGUCAAUACUUUAUUAUCUUCCUGCACUUUGCCAGUUAAGCUCAGCAAUUUUCCGUCCACGGAUCCACCUUUCUCCCCCUUCCUCCAGUCAAUGUUGAUCCAUCAAAUGCCAUGAUUAUUUUGUUAAAACACACCAAUUAUUUAAGGAUGUCCCUGACUGGCCUCCUGCAUCCUGAGGACUGCAUUUUCCAGGCACUGCCGGCCCCAGUGUAACCACAUAACCAAACACAAUCACUCCCUCUUCAAGUUCUCCUGUGGCAAUCAGGAUUUUAAAUAAUCUUUCCAAUAGUCUUCUCCAUCUUCGAGCUAUAAACGGCCUGAAACACAUUUCAAGAGCGCUUGGUCUCCAAGUUCUCCAUCACCAAAAGGUUUGUGCUCCAGUGGCCUCGAGAAGUUUCUCCCCUCUCCCCACAGUUAUUGCUUUAUCCUUUCUAUGUUCUGGGAGAAGUCUUUGUGGAGGAGAAACAGUAAUUUGUUGGAGGGUCUAUCAACACCUUCUCCUGAACAACUUGCACAACCAACAAUUUGGAUCAAAACGUGCAAGUGAAGCACAGAUUGAAAAUUCACAACUAAUUUCUGCGUUAUAUUUGCUCUGCCUUCUCUUUCAUCUUUAUGUUAUCUCAAACACUUUGACUUUUUCUUAAAAUGUCAUCAUUAAACCACAAACUGGCCUAAAUAACCAUUAGUGAGAAGAUUGUUUCCCUCUGAAGAAAUGGGAUAAGCAGCUGUGAGAUGCUGUUGUGCUGCAAGGGAAAAUGGCUGUAACUAUGCAGGAAAUUACAGACCUGGCUGAAGCCAGGAGAAUAAGUUUAUUCUGGAGCAUUGUUUUAUACCAUGUUACUUUUUUGGUGCUUUUGCCACAACUGGCAUUUUUUAUUCAGAACAAAACCUCCUAAAACUGAAUUUAUGAUACUGUCUCACCAGAUUACCUUGGGAAUAGAUCAAAGCAACAAAACAAGAGUUAGUCUUUUGAUUGUGCCACUGUUUCCAUGAGAAAAUUUUGUGCUAAAAUUUAAAUUUCUGCUGAUGUCCAAGGCAGGGAUGUCCUGCAGGGGAGGAGAGCCUGUUCCUGAUGUCAGAGAUCUGUAGUUCUUGAGGAAUGUGUUCCUGGACCACAUUUUUGAACUGAAGCAGAUCAAGACCUUCCUGAAUAAAGGAGCAGGAGGCCUGAGAGAUGAUCUCUAGAACCAGUCUGCUAUGGAGGGGUAAGGGACAUGCAGAAAAGACAAAAUCAGGGCAGAAAACCCAAGUGAGUUUAAGUGAGGAGGCUGGGAAGUUCCCAGACAGGAACUCAGGAGCUCACCUGAGGAUCUGUCCCAUUGCAAAGCACUGGGCUGGGUUAGAAGGGAUGGACACAGCAAACUGUAACAACCUGACCACUGCCAGAGGGUCCUCUCUGCACCCCCAGGGGGGGCAGAACUGCUUCCACACACAGCCUCAGGAGAUGGCUGGUGCUCCCAGCUUUUCAAAUCCAUUCCCAAGGAGACUUGGCAACUGGGACGAUUGUGACUAAGAAAGCACAGGAAAGUUUUACAAAUCA